AGCUGCAGGGGCCACAGAGGAUCUUCUCCCCUGAUUCCACAGCCUGUGUGAAUUCCUUCCAACUGGUGGCCUCAUGGGAGGGACAAUCUAGGACAGAACAAGGACCAAGUCACCAAGCCUCUGGAUGUGAUCAUGUGGCAUCCCAUCUGUGAGCCCCAGGAAAAUGCAAAGUUGGCCAGUGCUGGGGGCCAGUCCUUAUUUAUAUCAUUUCCAGAUGGCAUCUUUUGAUUGAUACUUGGCAAGUGCAAGAGUAUUCUUGGAAUGUUCAAGAUCGCGUAUUGCUCCUAUUCGAGGCACAUAAGGUUCUGUAAGUAAAAGUUGCAAGUUGAU